UCCCUGGCAGUCCAGCGGUUAAGACUCAGUGCUUCCACUGCUGGAAGCCCAGGUUCAAUCCCUGGUUGGUGAA
rnacentral:tRNA from 1 species